GCAUUGGUGGUUCAGUGGUAGAAUUCUCACCUAUCAUUCGGGAGGCCUAGGUUCGAUCCUGGCCAAUGCA